rnacentral:other from 1 species
AUUUCCCUGCUGUGUACGUGUUAACUGGCAUAGUAAAGAGCCAACACUUCGACAUAGGGAGUUCGGGCUCUAGACGUGGCGUAUAUGCCCUCUUGAAGGGACAUACAAAGCGCCUAGGAGGACACCCACUUGGGUAUAGAGCCGGGUCUCUAUUUACUGUCAGCAAACACGGCAUGGUGGGGUGCUU